AAAAAGCGGAGGAAAAGAAACCAACAGGGAUUGCCUUAGUAACGGCGAGUGAAGCGGCAAAAGCUCAAAUUUGAAAUCUGGCGUCUUCGGCGUCCGAGUUGUAAUUUGAAGAAGGCUACUUUGGGGCUGGAGUUUGUCUAAGUUCCUUGGAACAGGACGUCACAGAGGGUGAGAAUCCCGUGAGAUAAGCUUCCCAGUUCUAUGUAAAGUGCUUUCGAAGAGUCGAGUUGUUUGGGAAUGCAGCUCUAAGUGGGUGGUAAAUUCCAUCUAAAGCUAAAUAUUGGCGAGAGACCGAUAGCGAACAAGUACAGUGAUGGAAAGAUGAAAAGAACUUUGAAAAGAGAGUGAAAAAGUACGUGAAAUUGUUGAAAGGGAAGGGCUUGAGAUCAGACAUGGUAUUUUGUAAACCUUCUCUCUCGUGGAGGGGGCCCCUUGCAGCUUACUGGGCCAGCAUCAGUUUGGGCGGUAGGAUAAUGACUAAGGAAUGUGACUUGCCUUCGGGGAAGUGUUAUAGCCUUGGUUGAUACUGCCAGCCUAGACUGAGGACCGCGUCUUUGACAAGGAUGUUGGCAUAAUGAUCUUAAGCCACCCGUCUUGAAACACGGAACCCGAAAAC
rnacentral:rRNA from 1 species